rnacentral:rRNA from 1 species
AUUCCAGCUCCAAUAGCGUAUAUUGAAGUUGUUGCAGUUAAAAAGCUCGUAGUUGAAUUUCUGGUGGGAGUGUACAGUCCGACACUGAGUGUUGGUUCUUGUGUGUCUCCGGCCAUCCUUGAGUGGAUCUGUCUGGCAUUUAGUUGUUGGGCAGAGUAUCUCCAUCGUAUACUGUGAGGAAAUUAGAGUGUUCACGGCAGGCAAUCGCUUUGGAUACAUUAGCAUGGAAUAAUACUAUAGGACCUCGGUUCUAUUUUGUUGGUUUCUAGAGCUGAGGUAAUGAUUAAUAGGGAUAAUUGGGGGUCUUUGUAUUGCAACGUCAGAGGUGAAAUUCUUGGAUUGUUGCACGACAAACUACUGCGAAAGCAUUGACCAAGGAUGUUUUCAUUA